rnacentral:lncRNA from 1 species
CUUGCCAUAUGGUUCUGAUUUAUAUAAGCACAAACAAUUUGUUGUGGGAAAACCACAUCCGGAACACUCGAGACCAAAGGUUCGGAAAGCAAAAACAUAUAUAAUAGUUAUAUAAUAGUUGUGAACAUACAAUAUAUAUCUUUAUUCUCAUAAAGCCAAUGCAUUACAUCAGUACAGAGAUAACAACAAUAUAAAAGGGUCUAAAAUAACGUCAAAAACAGUCUUGGUCAACUUUUACCUUUGGGAAUUGCACAUUUCUUAUUUAGUUAUAUUACAUAGUUUUGGAU